UGGGGAAUAUUGGACAAUGGGCGAAAGCCUGAUCCAGCCAUGCCGCGUGUGUGAAGAAGGUCUUCGGAUUGUAAAGCACUUUAAGUUGGGAGGAAGGGCAGUAAGCGAAUACCUUGCUGUUUUGACGUUACCGACAGAAUAAGCACCGGCUAACUCUGUUCCAGCAGCCGCGGUAAUCCAGAGGGUGCAAGCGUUAAUCGGAAUUACUGGGCGUAAAGCGCGCGUAGGUGGUUCGUUAAGUUGAAUGUGAAAGCCCCGGGCUCAACCUGGGAACUGCAUCCAAAACUGGCGAGCGAGAGUAGGGCAGAGGGUGGUGGAAUUUCCUGUGUAGCGGUGAAAUGCGUGGAGAUCUGGAGGAAUACCGAUGGCGAAGGCAGCCAUCUGGCCUAACACUGACGCAGAGGUACGAGAGAAUGGGGAGCAAACAGG
rnacentral:rRNA from 1 species